rnacentral:rRNA from 1 species
UACGAAGGGGGCUAGCGUUGUUCGGAAUUACUGGGCGUAAAGCGCACGUAGGCGGACUAUUAAGUCAGGGGUGAAAUCCCGGGGCUCAACCCCGGAACUGCCUUUGAUACUGGUAGUCUCGAGUCCGGAAGAGGUGAGUGGAAUUCCGAGUGUAGAGGUGAAAUUCGUAGAUAUUCGGAGGAACACCAGCGGCGAAGGCGGCUCACUGGUCCGGUACUGACGCUGAGGUGCGAAAGCGUGGGGAGCAAACAGG